rnacentral:rRNA from 1 species
AGAGUUUGAUCAUGGCUCAGGACUAACGCUGGCGGCGUGCAUAACACAUGCAAGUCGAACGGGGUGUACCCGGGGGCAACCCUGGGUGCAUCUAGUGGCGAACGGGUGAGUAACACGUGGGAAACCUACCCCCUAGACUGGGAUAACCUACCGAAAGGUGGACUAAUACCAGAUGAGGUCGUAAGGUGCGAAUCCUUACGAUCAAAGGAUGGCGCAAGCUAUCGCUAAGGGAUGGGCCCGCGGCUGAUUAGCUAGUUGGCAGGGUAAAAGCCUACCAAGGCGACGAUCAGUAGCCGGCCUGAGAGGGCGUACGGCCACACUGGAACUGAGACACGGUCCAGACUCCUACGGGAGGCAGCAGUGGGGAAUCUUCCACAAUGGGCGAAAGCCUGAUGGAGCAACGCCGCGUGAGUGAUGAAGGCCUUCGGGUUGUAAAACUCUGUCGUGCAAGAAUAAAGCUGCUGGGUGAACAAUCCAGCAGUUUGACUGUAUUGCAGGAGGAAGACACGGCUAACUCUGUGCCAGCAGCCGCGGUAAUACAGAGGUGUCAAGCGUUGUCCGGAUUUACUGGGCGUAAAGGGCGUGUAGGCAGGUGGGUAAGUCGGAUGUGAAAUCACUGGGCUUAACCCAGUAACUGCAUCCGAAACUGCUUAUCUUGAGUACGGAAGAGGAAAGCGGAAUUCCCGGUGUAGCGGUGAAAUGCGUAGAUAUCGGGAGGAACACCAGUGGCGAAGGCGGCUUUCUGGUCCGUUACUGACGCUGAAACGCGAAAGCUAGGGGAGCAAACGGGAUUAGAUACCCUAGUAGUCC